AUGUUCCUUCUUCUGGUGCUUCUCACUGGACUUGGUGGGAUGCAUGCAGACCUCAAUCAAUUUUAUCUUCAGCUUCUGUUAUUAAUUCUUAUGACAAAAAUGACAUCUGUCAUUCCAAACCUCUGCUAGUUCAGAUGGAUUGCAAUUAUAAUGGAUAUGUUGCGGGUAUUCCAAAUUCUCUUGUGACUCUCAGCAUAUGUUCAGGACUCAGGGGAACAAUGCAGCUGAAAAACAUCUCAUAUGCAAUUGAACCAAUGGAGGCUGUAUCAGGAUUUAUAC
rnacentral:sRNA from 1 species